rnacentral:rRNA from 1 species
UACGGGGGGAGCAAGCGUUAUCCGGAUUCACUGGGUUUAAAGGGUGCGUAGGUGGGUUGGUAAGUCAGUGGUGAAAUCUCCAGGCUUAACUUGGAAACUGCCAUUGAUACUAUCAAUCUUGAAUACCGUGGAGGUCAGCGGAAUAUGUCAUGUAGCGGUGAAAUGCUUAGAUAUGACAUAGAACACCAAUUGCGAAGGCAGCUGGCUACACGAAUAUUGACACUGAUGCACGAAAGCGUGGGGAUCAAACAGG